AGUAAAAGUCGUAACAAGGUUUCCGUAGGUGAACCUGCGGAAGGAUCAUUAACGAGUAACUGAACAGGUUGUAGCUGGCCUCUCGGGGCAUGUGCACGCCUGGCUCAUCCACUCUUCAACCUCUGUGCACUUGUUGUAGGUCGGUAGAAGAGCGAGCAUCCUCUGAUGCUUUGCUUGGAAGCCUUCCUAUGUUUUACUACAAACGCUUCAGUUUAAGAAUGUCUACCUGCGUAUAACGCAUCUAUAUACAACUUUCAGCAACGGAUCUCUUGGCUCUCGCAUCGAUGAAGAACGCAGCGAAAUGCGAUAAGUAAUGUGAAUUGCAGAAUUCAGUGAAUCAUCGAAUCUUUGAACGCACCUUGCGCUCCCUGGUAUUCCGGGGAGCAUGCCUGUUUGAGUGUCAUGGUAUCCUCAACCUUCAUAACUUUUUGUUAUCGAAGGCUUGGACUUGGAGGUUGUGCUGGCUUCUAGUCGAGUCGGCUCCUCUUAAAUGUAUUAGCGUGAGUGUAACGGAUCGCUUCGGUGUGAUAAUUAUCUGCGCCGUGGUCGUGAAGUAACAUAAGCUUGCGCUUCUAACCGUCCUUCAGUUGGACAACUUACUUUGACAUCUGACCUCAAAUCAGGUAGGACUACCCGCUGAACUUAAGCAUAUCAAUAAGCGGAGGAAAAGAAACUAACAAGGAUUCCCCUAGUAACUGCGAGUGAAGCGGGAAAAGCUCAAAUUUAAAAUCUGGCAGUCUUUGGCUGUCCGAGUUGUAAUCUGGAGAAGCGUCUUCCGCGC
rnacentral:rRNA from 1 species